rnacentral:lncRNA from 1 species
UUCCCUUAUGAGUACAUAACCCCUGUUUGGUGCUCAAUUUUAUUAGCUUUUUUGGACCAAAACUCAUUUUUCUACAAUGUUGACAAGACAUCAAAGGCCUAGCACCAAAAUUCUGUCAGAUUGCCAAUUUGGGAACAAUGCUGUUGAGUCGUGUUCUCCCAUUUUUGCCCUCCUUUAGCAAUUGUUGUCCUCAGAUUUCCCUUAGAAUUUCUAGCCCUACCUUCUGAUUUCCCAAUUGACUCGAACGAUGCCCCUUGCUUCUCCUGUAAUCGAAUCUCGCUGUCGGUGAGAUUUUCAAGCCACAUCGUUUCGACCACCCAAGAUUCGUUGUCCAGUAUUCAUCGGCUGAAGGUGAGGCAGCCCAAUACGAGAUCGGUGCGGUUCGUGUUCCUUGCACCCAGAUCUCUCUGCCUACCAUUUUCGGCUAACAUCCAUCGAAGCACCUUACCAACGUCUGCUCCAGUCUCCUAUCGGCGGUAACUGGGCUCCUCAACAACCACUGGGUAAUUGCUAUUCCGUCUAACCACCGCAACCGCCAUAGCUCGUCGUACAACAAGGUUCGACCCCGGGUUAGUUUCAGCACCUUCCAAACAUCGAACUUCCAUCACAAAUCCAUUCCCACAAUAGAUAACUUCGGCCAGCAGUGGAACUGUUUCCCUGAAGACCUAGUAACCAUUAUACACUUCUCCUUGGAAAAGUUCAUCUGUGGCUCAAUGAAAAAGUUACUGGGCAUUUAUUAAAUAAGUAAAAUUAUGAACUAGAAUAUACUCACAAGUUUUUGAUAAUUUUCUCAUUAUAUUUUGUCUCCAAUUCAUGAGUAAACUGUUUUCAUAUUUUAAGAAUGUAGUGUUUUUUUUGGGGCAACGUCGCAUGUCAAUGAAAUUGCAAUUGGCUUCUUUUCCCUUCUUCACUAAUAAUAAACUGUAGGUGUUGAACAUGUGACCCGAAAUAAAUGUUUGAAGGGUAGCUAAUUUUGAAACUUUAUUUUCCUAUUCAUUCACAUUUAUUACAAAUUGCUCAAACUUUGUGCUUACACAAAAUUGAUGAGUUAGUUUAUGUUACAUAGCAAGUGCGUAUUUCUUCUGCAAUUUAGUAAAGCACAUUUUUUGAUUUUUAUAUUUCUUGUUUGUUGUCUGCCCCCAUUAUGCUUCUACGUGAUAUAGCAAAACGCAAUUGAACCAAGGAUCAUACUGUAUCCCUUUUGCCCUCUCACUAGAUCGUGAACUAACAAAAAAAAUGUGGAAGUCCCUUAAAAAGCUUUCAAGAUGGGAGCCCAAAAUACUUGACAAUUACCUUGUUUCCCCUUGCCUCUUUAAUGCAGCAUGUUAAUUUACUUUUGUUACACCUUCACUGCUUUACAAAUUACAAUUUUUCCCCUACAGCUCAGCACAAGUGCCAGUGCCCACUCGAUGCACCGUGCUGCAUCCGACCAGCAAGACCCGUAGCCAGCGGUGUGAAAGUCAGCCAAAUGGAACUCCUCAGAGUGCAAGUGAUCGUGAUGACAAUGGCAGUGCGAUAGUGUUACUGGCAAUGGUCUGUGACCACUAUUUGACUUAUGUUAUCAUCUGUGACCAAAUAUUUAAUUGUUAUCAACAAAUUUGAAAAUAUGUGACCUAUAAAUUUUUAGAUUUGUGACCACCGAAAAUAAAUUGUGACCUAUAAAUUUUUAGAUCUGUGACCAUCGAAAUAAAUCGUGGUCUAUAAAAAAUUUUAUUUGUGACCUCGAAAUAAUCCGUGACUAAUUAAUUUAAUGAUAUGUGACUAAUAAAUAAA